CCCUUAGACGUUCUGGGCCGCACGCGCGCUACACUGACCGGUGCAACAAGCAUCCGUCCUUGGCCGACAGGCCCGGGCAAUCUUUGAACGCCGGUCGUGAUGGGGAUAGACUUUUGCAAUUUUUGGUCUUCAACGAGGAAUUCCUAGUAAACGCAAGUCAUCAACUUGCAUUGAUUACGUCCCUGCCCUUUGUACACACCGCCCGUCGCACCUACCGAUUGAAUGGUCCGGUGAAGCCUCCGGAUUGGCGCGCACCUCGGUGCCGCCGAGAAGUUGGCUAAACCUUACCAUUUAGAGGAAGGUGAANUCGUAACA
rnacentral:rRNA from 1 species